AGUGAACGCUGGCGGUAGGCCUAACACAUGCAAGUCGAACGGCAGCACAGUAAGAGCUUGCUCUUACGGGUGGCGAGUGGCGGACGGGUGAGGAAUACAUCGGAAUCUACUUUUUCGUGGGGGAUAACGUAGGGAGACUUACGCUAAUACCGCAUACGACCUACGGGUGAAAGCAUGGGAUCUUCGGACCUUGCGCGAUUGAAUGAGCCGAUGUCGGAUUAGCUAGUUGGCGGGGUAAAGGCCCACCAAGGCGACGAUCCGUAGCUGGUCUGAGGGGAUGAGCAGCCACACUGGAACUGAGAAACGGUCCAGACUCCUACGGGAGGCAGCAGUGGGGAAUAUUGGACAAUGGGCGCAAGCCUGAUCCAGCCAUACCGCGUGGGUGAAGAAGGCCUUCGGGUUGUAAAGCCCUUUUGUUGGGAAAGAAAAGCAGCAGGUUAAUACCCCGCUGUUCUGACGGUACCCAAAGAAUAAGCACCGGCUAACUUCGUG
rnacentral:rRNA from 1 species